rnacentral:rRNA from 1 species
AAUGAACGCUGGCGGCAGGCUUAACACAUGCAAGUCGAACGCAUCGCAAGAUGAGUGGCAGACGGGUGAGUAACGCGUGGGAACAUACCCUUUUCUACGGAAUAGCUCUGGGAAACUGGAAUUAAUACCGUAUACGCCCUACGGGGGAAAGAUUUAUCGGGGAAGGAUUGGCCCGCGUUGGAUUAGCUAGUUGGUGGGGUAAAGGCCUACCAAGGCGACGAUCCAUAGCUGGUCUGAGAGGAUGAUCAGCCACAUUGGGACUGAGACACGGCCCAAACUCCUACGGGAGGCAGCAGUGGGGAAUAUUGGACAAUGGGCGCAAGCCUGAUCCAGCCAUGCCGCGUGAGUGAUGAAGGCCUUAGGGUUGUAAAGCUCUUUCACCGAUGAAGAUAAUGACGGUAGUCGGAGAAGAAGCCCCGGCUAACUUCGUGCCAGCCGCCGCCGUAACAC